rnacentral:misc_RNA from 1 species
ACUCUUCAACCCACCAGUUUCUUGUAGACUGAUUGGUGUUUGGAUUUUGAGCGUUGCUCGUCUUCGGAUGCAGCUCGUUCGUAAUACAUUAGCAUCUCUAAUUCGAACUCGGAUUGACUCAGUGUAAUAGACUAUUCGCUGAGGACACGCUCUCGUAGUGUGGCCGAAUGAGAUCUCAGUAGAAGCUUCCAACUACUUUAGUCAACUUUAGAU